GGCUCAGGAUGAACGCUAGCUACAGGCUUAACACAUGCAAGUCGAGGGGCAGCGCAGUGUAGCAAUACAUGGGCGGCGACCGGCGCACGGGUNCGUAACACGUAUCCAAUCUACCCAUGGCUCGGGGAUAGCCUUUCGAAAGAAAGAUUAAUACCCCGGAUGGUCUCGGUUUAAGGCAUCUUAGACUGAGUAAAGAUUUAUCGGCGAUGGAUGAGGAUGCGUCUGAUUAGGUAGAUGGCGGGUAACGGCCCACCAUGCCUACGAUCAGUAGGGGUUCUGAGAGGAAGGUCCCCCACACUGGAACUGAGACACGGUCCAGACUCCUACGGGAGGCAGCAGUGAGGAAUAUUGGUCAAUGGUCGGAAGACUGAACCAGCCAAGUAGCGUGAAGGAUGAAGGUUCUAUGGAUUGUAAACUUCUUUUAUACGGGAAUAAAACCUCCCACGUGUGGGAGCUUGUAUGUACCGUAUGAAUAAGCAUCGGCUAACUCCGUG
rnacentral:rRNA from 1 species